rnacentral:rRNA from 1 species
CGCGAUAAGUCACUACUUCUGGAAUGGGUAAUGACUCAAAUCUACAUGGCCCCUGGAUUGGACUGCGGCCGAUCAGGCUGUUGGUGAGGUAAUGGCCCACCAAACCUGUAACCGGUGCGGGCUCUGAGAGGAGGAGCCCGGAGAUGGGCACUGAGACAAGGGCCCAGGCCCUAUGGGGCGCAGCAGGCGCGAAACCUCUGCAAUAGGCGAAAGCCUGACAGGGUUACUCUGAGUGAUUUCCGUUAAGGAGAUCUUUUGGCACCUCUAAAAAUGGUGCAGAAUAAGGGGUGGGCAAGUCUGGUGUCAGCCGCCGCGGUAAUACCAGCACCCCGAGUGGUCGGGACGUUUAUUGGGCCUAAAGCAUCCGUAGCCGGUUCUACAAGUCUUCCGUUAAAUCCACCUGCUUAACAGAUGGGCUGCGGAAGAUACUAUAGAGCUAGGAGGCGGGAGAGGCAAGCGGUACUCGAUGGGUAGGGGUAAAAUCCGUUGAUCCAUUGAAGACCACCAGUGGCGAAGGCGGCUUGCCAGAACGCGCUCGACGGUGAGGGAUGAAAGCUGGGGGAGCAAACCGGAUUAGAUACCCGGGUAGUCCCAGCUGUAAACGAUGCAGACUCGGUGAUGAAUUGGCUUUAUGCCAAUUCAGUGCCGCAGGGAAGCCGUUAAGUUUGCCGCCUGGGGAGUACGGUCGCAAGACUGAAACUUAAAGGAAUUGGCGGGGGAGCACA